CAACUCCGGUUGAUCCUGCCGGCGGGCACCGCUAUGGGAGUUCGCUUAAGACAUGCGAGUCGAGAGGUGCAAGACCUCGGCGUACGGCUCAGUAACACGCGGACAACCUGCCCUCGCGUGGGGGAUACUCUCGGGAAACUGAGGAUAAUACCCCAUAGGUCCGGGAUGCUGGAACGCUUCCGGGCUGAAAGCUCCGGCGCGCGAGGAUGGGUCUGCGGCCUAUCAGCUUGUAGGGGGUUUAACAGACCCCCUAGGCUUCGACGGGUACGGGCUAUGGGAGUAGUCGCCCGGAGAUGGACUCUGAGACACGAGUCCAGGCCCUACGGGGCGCAGCAGUCGCGAAAACUCCGCAAUGUGGGAAACCACGACGGGGGAACUCCCAGUGCGUGCACUUUGUGUACGCUGUUCUCUUGCCUAAAAAGCAGGAGAAGUAAGGGCUGAGUAAGACGGGUGCCAGCCGCCGCGGUAAUACCCGCAGCCCGAGUGGUGCUCA
rnacentral:rRNA from 1 species